ACGGUGAUGGAAGCAAACCCGGAACUGCUGCCACGUCGAGGUGCAGUCUGUUUCUGAGUUUUUGAUCACUUCAUAAACCGGUCUGUGGAAUGGCUCUAUUUGAGGAGGUCUCCAAAAAAUCCGCGCUUCACCCAAAGCCUGCCGGGCUGCUGCUGAACUAUGGCACUUCCGGGUUUCGGACUGUCGCCGAGCAGCUGGAUCACGUCAUGUUUCGGAUGGGCUUGCUAGCAGUUUUAAGGUCCAAGAAGACUAAAGCCACCAUUGGUGUGAUGGUUACGGCGUCUCACAACCCUGAGGAAGACAACGGCAUCAAGCUCGUGGAUCCCAUGGGUGAGAUGGUGACCCCAACCUGGGAGGAGUAUGCCAUGCAGGUAGCUAAUGCUGAACAGGAGGCCCUCCUCACAGUGCUUGGAGACAUCAUGAAGAGGGAGGCUAUCGACAUCAAUCAGGGGGCUGCUGUCUUUAUUGGCAGAGACACCAGGCCCAGCAGUGAGAGUUUAAGCCAGGCAGUGCUGGAUGGCAUCCUCUCCUUCGCCGGUCACGCACAUGACUAUGGUGUGCUGACGACCCCCCAGCUGCACUUCAUGGUUCGCUGUGAGAAUACGCAGAGUCGCUAUGGCAACCCCACCACUGAGGGCUACUACCAGAAACUGUCGCAGGCUUUCGUCCAGCUCGUCAAGCAUGCCCCAAACCGCACUGACGACCAGAAGCAUCUUCUUGUGGAUGGAGCCAAUGGUGUUGGUGCCCUGAAGCUGAGGGAUAUGGAGCCCUUUCUGCAGAAGGAGCUGCAGAUCUCGCUGUUCAACAAGGGCACUGGGGGCAAACUGAACUUCCAGUGUGGUGCUGACUAUGUCAAAGUCCAGCAGGGCCCUCCUCUGGGAGUUGAGAUGCUCGUGGGUCAGCGCUGCUGUUCCUUUGAUGGUGAUGCAGAUCGGAUUGUUUACUACUACAGUGACUCUGAGGGCCGUUUUCACUUGCUGGAUGGUGACAAGAUCGCUACACUUAUCAGCACCUUUCUGAAAAAGCUGGUCACACAGGCUGGUCUGGACUUGCAGAUCGGUGUAGUGCAGACAGCAUAUGCUAAUGGGAGCUCCACGCGCUACUUGGAGAACAACAUGAAGGUAACGGUACGCUGCGUAGAGACAGGCGUAAAGCACCUGCAUCAUGCUGCCCAGGAAUUUGACAUUGGUGUGUACUUUGAGGCCAACGGUCAUGGUACGGUUCUUUUCAGUGAGUCUGCAGUAGUGAAGAUCCAGCAACUAGCCAUGGACUCCAGCACCAGCGAUGAGAAGAAGAGUGCCGCUCAAAUACUGGAGAACACGGUCAACGUCACCAACCAGGCGGUGGGCGACGCCAUCUCCGACAUGCUGCUUGUGGAGGCUGUGCUGGCGGUGCAGGGCCUGUCCCUGCAGCAGUGGGACGCCAUGUACGUGGACCUGCCCAACAGACAGCGUAAAGUGAAGGUGGCAGACAAAAGCGUGAUCACGACUACAGAUGCCGAGAGGAGGGCGCUCAGUCCGGCCGGCUUGCAGGACGCUGUGGACGCACUGGUGAAGCAGUACCCCCUGUCUCGAGCAUUCGUCCGUCCUUCUGGCACCGAGGAUACAAUUCGAGUGUAUGCUGAAGCAGACACACAGGUAAGGACACAGCUGCAGACACGCAAGUAAGGACACAGCUACAGACGCGCAGGUAAGGACACAGCUACAGACACACAGGUAAGGACACAGCUACAGACGCGCAGGUAAGGACACAGCUACAGACACACAGGUAAGGACACAGCUACAGACACACAGGUAAGGACACAGCUACAGACGCACAUGUAAGGACACAGCUACAGACGCACAUGUAAGGACACAGCUACAGACGCACUGGUGAGGACACAGCAACAAAUGGACGGGUGAGCUUGCAGAUACACAGGUAAAGAGCUACAGACACAUAGGUGAGCAUGCAGAUACACAGGUAAAGAGCUACAGACACAUAGGUGAGCAUGCAGAUACACAGGUAAAGAGCUACAGACACAUAGGUGAGCAUGCAGGUGCACAGGUAAAGAGCUACAGACACAUAGGUGAGCAUGCAGGUGCACAGGUAAAGAGCUACAGACACAUAGGUGAGCAUGCAGGUGCACAGGUAAAGAGCUACAGACACAUAGGUGAGCAUGCAGGUGCACAGGUAAAGAGCUACAGACACAUAGGUGAGCAUGCAGGUGCACAAGGAAAGGCAGCGACAGCAUCUGUCUGUGCAGAUUGAUUAAUGACGUAUGUGGGUGUGUGUGUGGACCAUGAUUACAUUGUGUGUGUGUGUGUGUGUGUGUGUGUGUGUGAUUAC